rnacentral:rRNA from 1 species
CGGCGGACGGGUGAGUAACACGUGGAUAACCUACCUAUAAGACUGGGAUAACUUCGGGAAACCGGAGCUAAUACCGGAUAAUAUAUUGAACCGCAUGGUUCAAUGGUGAAAGACGGUUUUGCUGUCACUUAUAGAUGGAUCCGCGCCGCAUUAGCUAGUUGGUAAGGUAACGGCUUACCAAGGCAACGAUGCGUAGCCGACCUGAGAGGGUGAUCGGCCACACUGGAACUGAGACGCGGUCCAGACUCCUACGGGAGGCAGCAGCC